CACGCUGUAAACGAUGGAUACUAGACGUGGUGGGUCUUGACCCCUGCCGUGUCGAAGUUAACACGAUAAGUAUCCCGCCUGGGAAGUACGGUCGCAAGACUAAAACUCAAAGGAAUUGACGGGGGCCCGCACAAGCGGUGGAUCAUGUGGUUUAAUUCGAAGCAACGCGAAGAACCUUACCUGGAUUUGACAUCCUCUGAAGUUAGUAGAGAUAUUAACGGCCCGCAAGGGACAGAGAGACAGGUGC
rnacentral:rRNA from 1 species